CCUACGGGUGGCAGCAGUGGGGAAUAUUGCACAAUGGGGGGAACCCUGAUGCAGCGACGCCGCGUGAGUGAAGAAGUAUUUCGGUAUGUAAAGCUCUAUCAGCAGGGAAGAAAAUGACGGUACCUGACUAAGAAGCCCCGGCUAAAUACGUGCCAGCAGCCGCGGUAAUACGUAGGGGGCCAGCGUUAUCCGGAUUUAAUGGGUGUAAAGGGAGCGUAGGCGGUUAUGCAAGUCUGAAGUGAAAGCCCAAGGCUCAACCAUGGGACUGCUUUGGAAACUGUAAGACUGGAGUGCAGGAGAGGUAAGCGGAAUUCGUAGUGUAGCGGUGAAAUGCGUAGAUAUUAGGAGGAACACCAGUGGCGAAGGCGGCUUGCUGCAGCGGAACUGACGCUGAUGCUCGAAAGCGCGGGUAUCGAACAGGAUUAGAUACCCGGGUAGUC
rnacentral:rRNA from 1 species